rnacentral:rRNA from 1 species
UUGGGCGUAAAGGGUGCGUAGGCGGUUUUGAAAGUCAGAAGUUAAAGCCCUCGGCUCAACCGAGGUAAGCUUUUGAAACUUCAAGACUUGAGUACAGGAGGGGAGAGUAGAAUUCCUAGUGUAGCGGUGAGAUGCGUAGAUAUUAGGAGGAAUACCAGUGGCGAAGGCGACUCUCUGGACUGUAACUGACGCUGAGGCACGAAAGCAUGGGGAGCAAACAGGAUUAGAUACCCUGGUAGUCCAUGCCGUAAACGAUGAGUGCUAGGUGUUGGUGCCGACAGGCAUCAGUGCCGCAGUUAACACAUUAAGCACUCCGCCUGGGGAGUACGGUCGCAAGACUGAAACUCAAAGGAAUUGACGGGGGCCCGCACAAGCAGCGGAGCAUGUGGUUUAAUUCGACGCAACGCGAAGAACCUUACCAAGGCUUGACAUCCCUCGGACCGUUCUAGAGAUAGAACUUUCCCUUCGGGGACUGAGGAGACAGGUGGUGCAUGGUUGUCGUCAGCUCGUGUCGUGAGAUGUUGGGUUAAGUCCCGCAACGAGCGCAACCCUUAUCUUUAGUUGCCAGCAGGUUAAGCUGGGCACUCUAGAGAGACUGCCGGUGACAAACCGGAGGAAGGUGGGGAUGACGUCAAAUCAUCAUGCCCCUUAUGCCUUGGGCUACACACGUGCUACAAU